AUUGAACGCUGGCGGCAUGCCUUACACGUGCAAGUCGAACGGCAGCACGGGUGCUUGCACCUGGUGGCGAGUGGCGAACGGGUGAGUAAUACGUCGGAACGUACCUUAUCGUGGGGGAUAACGCAGUGAAAGCUGUGCUAAUACCGCAUACGCCCUGAGGGGGAAAGCGGGGGAUCGCAAGACCUCGCGCGAUUAGAGCGGCCGAUGCCUGAUUAGCUUGUUGGUGGGGUAAAAGCCCACCAAGGCGACGAUCAGUAGCUGGUCUGAGAGGACGAUCAGCCACACUGGGACUGAGACACGGCCCAGACUCCUACGGGAGGCAGCAGUGGGGAAUUUUGGACAAUGGGGGCAACCCUGAUCCAGCAAUGCCGCGUGAGUGAAGAAGGCCUUCGGGUUGUAAAGCUCUUUUGUCAGGGAAGAAACACCGGCUCUAACACAGUCCGGGAAUGACGGUACCUGAAGAAUAAGCACCGGCUAACUACGUGCCAGCCGCCGCGGUAA
rnacentral:rRNA from 1 species